rnacentral:lncRNA from 1 species
CUUUGGGCCCAUUCAUUCCCCCUAAGAAUCAUUUACUCUUUCUCUAAAAUUGCCUAGAGCCCCCACCUCCCUUACUGCUAUGAAGAGGGCAUUUAAGCUUCAGCUAUCUGGCCCUUUGAGUUUACUUUGCGUGACUCUCAUUUGUGUAACUCUCUUGCACUUGCAGAUUAAUGAAUUCAUAAGCCUUUUCUCCUGUUAAUCUGCCUAUUGUCCAUUUAUUUCAGCAGAUGCUAUUAUCAAACUUUCAGAGGGGAAGUGUAAACUUUCCUGCAAUACACUUUUGGCUUUUGAUCAUACUUCUGUUUUGCAUUUUAUAUCUGUGUAACAGUAUAUCCUUUUAAAAUAUUAAUCUUGCCGGGCGCGGUGGCUCACGCCUGUAAUCCCAG